rnacentral:rRNA from 1 species
CCCACUCCCGGCACGGGGAGGUAGUGACGAAAAAUAACGAUACGGGNCUCAUCCGAGGCCCCGUAAUCGGAAUGAGUACNCUUUAAACCCUUUAACGAGUAUCCAUUGGAGGGCAAGUCUGGUGCCAGCAGCCGCGGUAAUUCCAGCUCCAAUAGCGUAUAUUAAAGUUGUUGCGGUUAAAAAGCUCGUAGUUGGAUUUGUGUCCCACGCUGUCGGUUCACCGUUCGUCGGUGUUUAACUGGCAUGCCCGUGCGGACGUCCUGCCGGUGGAUGCGGUCGGCCGUGGGCCUUUGGUCUGCGCGUCGGCGGUCCGAUGCAAUCCUACCGCGGUGCUCUUCACCGAGUGUCGAGGUGGGCCGGCACGUUUACUUUGAACAAAUUAGAGUGCUCAAAGCAGGCAGUGGUUCGCCUGAAUAUUGUGUGCAUGGAAUAAUGGAAUAGGACCUCGGUUCUAUUUUGUUGGUUUUCGGAACUUGAGGUAAUGAUUAAUAGGGACAGACGGGGGCAUUCGUAUUGCGACGUUAGAGGUGAAAUUCUUGGAUCGUCGCAAGACGAACCUAAGCGAAAGCAUUUGCCAUGAGUGUUUUCAUUAAUCAAGAACGAAAGUUAGAGGUUCGAAGGCGAUCAGAUACCGCCCUAGUUCUAACCAUAAACGAUGCCAGCUAGCGAUCCGCCGAAGUUCCUCCGAUGACUCGGCGGGCAGCUUCCGGGAAACCAAAGCUUUUGGGUUCCGGGGGAAGUAUGGUUGCAAAGCUGAAACUUAAAGGAAUUGACGGAAGGGCACCACCAGGAGUGGAGCCUGCGGCUUAAUUUGACUCAACACGGGAAACCUCACCAGGCCCGGACACCGGAAGGAUUGACAGAUUGAGAGCUCUUUCUUGAUUCGGUGGGUGGUGGUGCAUGGCCGUUCUUAGUUGGUGGAGCGAUUUGUCUGGUUAUUC